UACGUAGGGGGCAAACGUUGUCCGGAUUUACUGGGUGUAAAGGGUGCUCAGGCGGUUUUGUAAGUCAGGGGUGAAAUCCCGGAGCUUAACUCCGGAACUGCCUUUGAUACUGCAAGGCUUGAGUACGGAAGAGGCGGAUGGAAUUCCUGGUGUAGCAGUGAAAUGCGUAGAUAUCAGGAGGAACACCGGUGGCGAAGGCGGUCCGCUGGUCCGUUACUGACGCUAAAGCACGAAAGCGUGGGGAGCAAACAGG
rnacentral:rRNA from 1 species